GACCUGGUAGCACAAUGUCAGUGCGUCUGCAUUCAGUAAUAACUGGGAAAUAGAUUUAUGCAGAAGAUCCCCGUUCGAACCGGGGUCAGGUCA